CCAUCAAACUGUUACUAGUAUUAAGGUUUAAGGCAGAUUUCUACAACAGAAGCUAGGGUUAACGCACAAAUUCGAGAAAAAUAAGUUCGUAGGUAGACACAGGGAGAGAUGGGAAAGAGGAUGCGCGUAACGGAUGCUGCGGAAGCAGCAGGACCAGGACGAGCUUGCGCGUGAUGGAUGGGGAUCGGCCGCAGGCGACGGCAGCAGGACCAGGACGAGCUCGCGCGUGAUGGAUGGGGAUCGGCCGCAGGCGACGGCGGCGGAAGAGGAUGUGCUCACCAGGAUGGAUGCGGCGGAAGCAGCAGGACGAACGACGAAGCCGCCCUACUCGCCUCGCUCGCAGUCGCGGGGUGGAAUGGGGAUCGGCGGAGGCGGAAUACCUGAUGAGGUGUGGGUAGGGAGGGAUGCUCACCGGCCAGCGACGAUGCGGUGGAAGCUAGAAGGAGGACGCCGGGCGCCACCUCUGCUCGCAGGAUGGGGAUCGGCGCAAGCGGCGGGUGAGGAGACGAAAUUCGAGGCCGAGGCCGAGGCCGGAUGGGAUGGAUUAGGAUGCUCACCGGUGAGCGAAUGCGGCGGGAGCAGGAGGAGGACGCCGGCGCCACCUCUGCUAGCAGGAUGGAGAUCGGCGCCAGCGGCAGGCGAGGAGACGGGAGUCGAGGGCGGCGGGCGAGGAGACGGGACGGAUUGGGGAGGCGGAGGGCGUGCACGCGGUGUCGCCUGCCUAUGUAUGGGUCAUAUGCACAGGCCCAUGAGGCUGGAGUUUUUUCAUCUCCCAAAAAAGUUCAUCUAGGGUCCCUUAU
rnacentral:lncRNA from 1 species